AGUGAACGCUGGCGGUAGGCCUAACACAUGCAAGUCGAACGGCAGCGCAGUAAGAGCUUGCUCUUACGGGUGGCGAGUGGCGGACGGGUGAGGCAUACAUCGGAAUCUACUUUUUCGUGGGGGAUAACGUGGGGAAACUUACGCUAAUACCGCAUACGACCUACGGGUGAAAGCAGGGGAUCUUCGGACCUUGCCCGAUUCAAUGAGCCGAUGUCGGAUUAGCUAGUUGGCGAGGUAAAGGCCCACCAAGGCGACGAUCCGUAGCUGGUCUGAGAGGAUGAUCAGACACACUGGAACUGAGACACGGUCCAGACUCCUACGGGAGGCAGCAGUGGGGAAUAUUGGACAAUGGGCGCAAGCCUGAUCCAGCCAUACCGCGUGGGUGAAGAAGGUCUUCGGGUUGUAAAGCGCUGUUGUUGGGAAAGAAAAGCAGCAGGUUAAUAUCCCGCUGUUCUGACGGUACCCAAAGAAUAAGCACCGGCUAACUUCGUG
rnacentral:rRNA from 1 species